rnacentral:rRNA from 1 species
AUGGUCUGCCGCCCCAAGCAUCAUGGUGGCCUUGGCAUCCUAGGCAUAAGGCGGUUCAGCAGGGCCCUGCGGCUUCGUUGGAAGUGGUAUGACUGGAUUGACAAGGGACAUCCUUGGGCUGGAUCUGAAUUACCUUGCGACAAGGAAGAUCUUGCACUCUUCUCAGCCUGCACUCUGAUCACUAUUGGCAAUGGUCUCAUAGCCAGGUUCUGGCACGAUCAUUGGCUUGACGGACAGGCGCCGCACACUCUUGCUCCAGACAUUUUCAAACUCUACUCUCGCAAGAGGAUUUCUAUACAUGAGGCCAUUACCAACCAAAAAUGGGUGUUGAAUCUGCAUCACAUCUCCUAG